GCAACUCGCCUGCAUGAAGCUGGAAUUGCUAGUAAUCGCGGAUCAGCAAGCCGCGGUGAAUACGUUCCCGGGCCUUGUACACACCGCCCGUCACACCAUGAGAGUCGGUAACACCCGAAGUCAGUAGUCUAACCGCAAGGAGGACGCUGCCGAAGGUGGGAUUGACGACUGGGGUGAAGUCGUAACAAGGUACC
rnacentral:rRNA from 1 species